CGCCACAACGGCUUCCUGACGUGGCGAGAAGAAUAAUACCGGAGCA
rnacentral:ncRNA from 1 species